GUUCGAGCAUCCUUGGCUUCUUUCUCUUUUUUGUGGGGUUGGCACUUGCAAAGCAGAGAAAGACAUGGUGAAUAAUAUUGGAAGGAGCUAUUGAAUGAAUAUGGAAAUAAAAGGUUUGUGUGGCCUCAGAAUAAAGAGAAACGUAAAGUUGACAAGGUUCAGGGGUCUUGCUUCUGGGUUUCAUCUCUGAGAUUUGUGUUUGUUUGAUACUUGCUUGGGGCGUUGAUUAAUUCAACCUUUCCUGGGUUUUGACUAUCCAGGAGAUGGUGAGAGGGAAGAUUGAGGUGAAAAGAAUCGAAAAUGCGACAAGCAGGCAGGUAGCCUUUUCGAAACGUCGAAACGGGCUGUUGAAGAAGGCUUUUGAGCUUUCGGUUCUUUGCGAUGCCGAAGUUGCAGUCAUCGUCUUUUCUCAGAAAAACAGGCUCUAUGAGUUUUCUAGCUCCGACAUGCAAAAGACUAUAAAAAAAUACCAAAAACAUGCAAAAGGUGCGCUAACCAACACUACUGAAGUGGAACAGUAUAUGCAGCAAUUGAAGCAUGAAUCAGCUGACAUGGCCAAGAAGAUUGAGACCCUAGAAGCUUCUCAACGGUUUAUGACUUACUUUGAUCUUCAUCUCAUGAGGCUUUUGGGACAUGACUUGGAUCCUUGCUCUGCUCAAGAAGUCAAUCAGAUGAGUAGCCAGCUCGAGCGAAGCUUGCGCAAAGUACGAGAGAGAAAGGAUCAGCUAUUAACGGAGCAGAUAGAACGACUAAAAGCAAAGGAGAGGUUCCUCUUAGAAGAGAAUGCAAAACUACACACACAGUGUGGUGCAAGGCCUUGUCAGAAACCUUUAGUUCAAGAAAAAGGAGUUGGGGCAGCAAGUUAUAACUGGAUGAAUAGUAGUCAAAGUAGCAGCAGCCAAACAAUUAAUAAUUCAGAUCAGGUAGAGACUAGAUUGUUCAUCGGACCGCCAGUGAUGCGCUGUGAAUAAUAUAUAGCACAGUUGUGUUACGUACGUUCUGAAAGCCAACACCACCAUCUCUGCUGAUAUUGGACAUGGGCAAGGAAAUAAAUAAUAAUGCUCUGUCUUCGAGCAAAUCCUAUUUGAUAUAUAUGUAUUUGACUGAUGUAGAAGACCAGAAGUCCUGCCAGUUGCAUGUAUCUGAUUAAUAACUGCAGACUGGAAACUGAAGACUGACGACAAUCCUUUAUUCAUUUGUUCUGGUGUGAAGACUAUGAUUAACCUAAAAUUGUUGACAUCAAUAUCCUAUCCUUUAUAGGGAUAGGAUAUUAGGAUCGACCUAUACACUAAGGUAAAUACAAAGAUGUUGGAACUUGGUUUUUCUCAUUUUCAGUCUGAUACGUAUAAUUUGGUAAUUGAAAGUAACUUGUGCAUGGAGGAAAAUA